GCAACACCAGGUUUUCUUUUUUUUUUUCUCCCAUGCUGUGCCAUAUUUGAGUUAAACCUCUCAUAGCUUUUGCUCAAUAUGUACAGUAUUUUAUGUAAAUAUUUAGGCGCCAUAAAGCCUAUACUGAAGGUUUCAUCAAGGAAGAGCUCAAAGGACAUAAAUGCAAAAAAAAAUGCUCAAUAUAUUUGUUGCAGUGGGAAUCUUGAGCCAUGAAACAUGUUAGCUUAAGUUAGCAUUAAGGCUAGACGUAGAAAUGAGCAGCUAACCUUGUUUUAUCAGAAGGUAAACACCUCAAUAUCCAUUGUUUUCAUGGUUAUAGCUUAACAGUGUUACAGUGUACAUAACAUGUUUACACUUGAGCAAUUCAACAUAGUGUAUCUGAAAAAGAGUAGGAAGAAGCAGAGUUUAUUUAAUAGUUAGUUUACUUCCUGUGCUGUAUGUUCCCGAUGAGAUUAUGUAUGUAAUUUAUGCAUCUGUAAUUUGCUGUGUCAGCCAUUUAUCUCACUAUUAAUCUGUUAACAAACAUGUUGACAUUGUGCUAUUAAUGCGCCAGACACCUCAGUUGACUGUUAAAGCAGCUAUUUUUAUUACAACGGUACAUGUAUAUACAGCAUAAGGCACAGUACAAAUACAGACGGGGUAGGAAAGUUGCAUUUUGGUGGGGUGUUGUGGCGCUGAUUUAGAAGCACUUCCUGUGAACGAUGGAGGGGCCUGCCUCAUCGUACUCCUGCUUGCUGAUCCACAUCUGCUGGAAGGUGGACAGAGAGGCCAGGAUGGAGCCGCCAAUCCAGACAGAGUAUUUCCUCUCAGGGGGAGCGAUGAUCUAGAUGAAGCGGAGGUAAUGCCGCUCACCUUGAUCUUCAUGGUGCUGGGGGCCAGGGCUGUGAUCUCCUUCUGCAUGCGGUCAGCAAUACCAGGGUACAUGGUGGUGCCACCAGACAGGACGUUAUUGGCGUACAGAUCCUUGCGGAUAUCAAUGUCACACUUCAUGAUGCUGUUGUAGGCGGUCUCAUGGAUACCAGCAGACUCCAUACCUUUGCAGAAGGAAGUGAUGAAGAAGUAAUUGGAUGUGGUGUGUUAGUACAUACCAAUGAAGGAAGGCUGGAACAGUGUCUCGGGGCAGCGGAAACGCUCGUUGCCGAUGGUGAUGACCUGACCAUCGGGCAGCUCGUAGCUCUUCUCCAGAGAGGAGGAGGAGGCAGCGGUGGCCAUCUCGUUCUCGAAGUCCAGGGCGACAUAGCACAGCUUCUCCUUGAUGUCACGCACGAUCUCACGCUCAGCUGAGGGAGGGAACGUUCACUGAGUUUGUCUUGCUUUCAUUUGGCUACAAACAUGCUCUUUAUGGACAUAAUGGCACCAAUACAAAUAGUUAUUCAUUAUAUGACAUUAUGCAGUAUACGCCAUUCCUCUAAUCCAGAGGUGUCCAAACUUUAUCCAGAAAGGACCACAUACUGAAAAAUGAAAGGAUGUGAGGGCCACUUUGAUAGUUUAUGAAUAUGAUAAGAAGUUAUAUAUAUUUCAAGAAAAAACUCAAUUUCAGCCUUGUAAUAGGCCUGUACGUAAAAAAGUGUAUUAUUAGUAUGAACUUCGCUCUUUGCUGUCGCCAUUUUUGAAUGUUUUUUUUUAUAUAUUUCUUUCUUCUUAAAUAAUACCUGUAUAUUUUCUUCUCAUAAUAUUAUGACUUUAUUCCCAUAAUAUUUAGACUUUUUUCCCCCAACCUAAGUAUCCAGAAAUUACAACUUUAUUUUUUAUAUUUAUAUUUUGAUUUUAUAUUUCUGUUGGUUUCUCAUAGUAUUAUGACUUUUAAAGUAUAAAAUGUUUUUCUUCAACAUUUAAACUCUAUGCAACUAAAAUGACAUUUUUCUCAUAAUAUAAGUUUAUUC